GAUGAACGCUGGCGGCGUGCCUAAUACAUGCAAGUCGAGCGAACAGACGAGGAGCUUGCUCCUCUGACGUUAGCGGCGGACGGGUGAGUAACACGUGGAUAACCUACCUAUAAGACUGGGAUAACUUCGGGAAACCGGAGCUAAUACCGGAUAAUAUAUUGAACCGCAUGGUUCAAUAGUGAAAGACGGUUUUGCUGUCACUUAUAGAUGGAUCCGCGCCGCAUUAGCUAGUUGGUAAGGUAACGGCUUACCAAGGCGACGAUGCGUAUCCGACCUGCGAGGGUGAUCGGCCACACUGGAACUGAGACACGGUCCAGACUCCUACGGGAGGCAGCAGAAGGGAAUCUUCCGCAAUGGGCGAAAGCCUGACGGAGCAACGCCGCGUGAGUGAUGAAGGUCUUCGGAUCGUAAAACUCUGUUAUUAGGGAAGAACAAAUGUGUAAGUAACUAUGCACGUCUUGACGGUACCUAAUCAGAAAGCCACGGCUAACUACGUG
rnacentral:rRNA from 1 species